CGAAGGGAGCUAGCGUUGUUCGGAAUCACUGGGCGUAAAGCGCGCGUAGGCGGCUUUGCAAGUCAGGGGUGAAAUCCCACAGCUUAACUGUGGAACUGCCUUUGAAACUGCAAGGCUAGAAUGUGAGAAGGGAUGGCGGAAUUCCUAAUGUAGAGGUGAAAUUCGUAGAUAUUAGGAGGAACACCUGUGGCGAAAGCGGCCAUCUGGAUCACAAUUGACGCUGAAGUGCGAAAGCGUGGGUAGCAAACAGGAUUAGAUACCCUGGUAGUCCACGCCAUAAACGAUGAGUGCUAGCCGUCGGGCCCGUAGGGUUCGGUGGCGCCGCUAACGCAUUAAGCACUCCGCCUGGGGAGUACGGUCGCAAGAUUA
rnacentral:rRNA from 1 species